rnacentral:misc_RNA from 1 species
UUCCGCCGGGCACGCCCGCAGAAGCCUUCCGCGGCGACUUUAAAUAACCGCGCAGUCCACGGGUCAGCCCCUGGGCCACGCCGUCACUGUGCUGGAAAGCCCCCCGGGGUCGACCCGCAGCCGCUCUCCUUAGGGAGUCCCGGUCCACAGAUCAAACGAUGGUGGCCACCGUCAGGUGGUUCAGAUAUGAUCGACACUCUCGAGGUUUCUUUGAGGGACGUCUUUGGUUCCGUAGGUGAACCUGCGGAAGGAUCAUUAGAGGAGAAGAGGGUCCCCCGGGGCCCGAAUUCACCACCCUUUGCGAAUUUACCUUUGUUGCUUUGGCGGGCCGGAGGCCUCCGGACCUCCCGUCGACCCCGGUGGACGUGUGCCCGCCAGAGACCCAUCAAACCCUGUUAAUCAGUGAUGUCCGAGUCAUAAUAUAAUCGUUAAAACUUUCAACAACGGAUCUCUUGGUUCUG